rnacentral:rRNA from 1 species
UACGUAGGGGGCGAGCGUUGUCCGGAAUCAUUGGGCGUAAAGCGCGUGUAAGCGGCCCGGUAAGUCCGCUGUGAAAGUCCAGGGCUCAACCCUGGGAUGCCGGUGGAUACUGUCGGGCUCGAGUCCGGAAGAGGCGAGUGGAAUUCCUGGUGUAGCGGUGAAAUGCGCAGAUAUCAGGAGGAACACCAAUGGCGAAGGCAGCUCGCUGGGACGUGACUGACGCUGAGACGCGAAAGCGUGGGGAGCAAACAGG